CCUCUGUAUUCCAUUUGUGUUAUGGAACUUUGCUCCCCUGGCCAUUGUUGAUCGGAAUACUGGUAGAUACAGAAGCUAUGCUCUUCCAAUCUCUCUAGGAGCUUGGAAUUGAAACCAAGAGAAAUUAGUUAUUCCCCAGUAUGCAUGAAAUGGGAGGGCAUGUGUAUCUGUUAAGAUUAAGCUUAGUUGCACACAAAAAGAAAUUUAAAAUAAAAAUGGCUUAAGAUAGAAAGUUAUUCACAAAGUCAGAUGAUAAGUACUUGAUGUGGUUUGGACAUGUCCCCACCCAAAUUUCAUCUUGAAUUAUAGUUCCCAUGAUCCUCACGUGUCGUGGGAGGGACCUGGUGGGAGGUAAUUGAAUCUUGGGGGUGGUUACCCCUAUGCUGCUGUUCUCCUGAUAGUGAGUGAGUUCUCACAAGAUCUGAUGGUUUUAUAAGGGGCUUUCCCCCUUUUGCUCAUUCUUCUCCUUGCUGCUGCCAUGUGAAGAAGAAUGUGUUUGCUUCCUCUUCCACCAUGAUUGAAAGUUUCCUGAGACCUCCCCAGCCUUGUGGAACUAUGGAGUCUCUCUGCGCCGAGUUUGGAGUUCAGUGGCAUGAUCUCGGCUCACUGCAACCUCCGCUUCCUGGGUUCAAGCAAUUCUCCUGCCUCAGCCUCCCGAGUAGGUGAGAUUACAGGUGCUCGCCACCAGGCCCAGCUAAUUUUUGAAUUUUUAGUAGAGACAAGGUUUCGCCCUGUUGGCCAAGCUGGUCUCAAACUCCUUACCUCAAGUGAUCCACCUGCCUCCGCCUCCCAAAGUUCUGGGAUUACAGGCGUGAGCCACCGCUCCCGGCCUCUCUACCUUCUUUGUCCCACAGGAAAAAGGAAUAUGCUUCUUUGGGAAGGACAUGAACUAGGGCGACAGCAAAAGGAAAGCGAAUGUGGGGCUGUUUUGGAGUCCCAUACACUCUCAGCGGCAGAGCAAUAUUAAAACUUCCUAGAAGACAUCUGAGCAGCAAU
rnacentral:lncRNA from 1 species